AUGUAGUGUGACAUGCCCGUUGGGUAUUAACUCUGAUGUUAUACUAUUAUUUAAUUGCUUUGGGAUAACAGGGUGUUACAUGUUUG
rnacentral:pre_miRNA from 1 species